rnacentral:rRNA from 1 species
GCGACUGAACUGUCACUAGCUCAGCAUGUGAAUCAGCGUGCACUCUCGUGAGCGCUGAAUUGUGGUCUUUUGGUUCUUGCAUCAACACGUCCAGUCCAUGUUUUUUGGAAUAAAACAGCAAAGAGGGUGAAACUCCCGUGUGACUGGACCAACGAAGCAAGCACUACUGAGUCGAGUUGUUUGGGAUUGCAGCUCAAAUACGGUGGUAAAUUUCAUCUCAAGCUAAAUACUACAGGGAGACCGAUAGCGAACAAGUACCGUGAGGGAAAGAUGCAAAGAACUUUGAAAAGAGAGUGAAAGAGUACCUGAAAUUGCUGAAAAGGAAGCGAACGAACCUAGUGAAAGCAAUGUCAUACUUUCCAACUUGCUCGCAACUUGGACGCUGUGGCUUGCCAAGUUCCACUCCAUCGC